rnacentral:rRNA from 1 species
AUUGAACGCUGGCGGCAUGCUUUACACAUGCAAGUCGAACGGUAACAGGGUGCUUGCACCGCUGACGAGUGGCGAACGGGUGAGUAAUGCAUCGGAAUGUACCGUGUAAUGGGGGAUAGCUCGGCGAAAGCCGGAUUAAUACCGCAUACGCCCUGAGGGGGAAAGUGGGGGACCGAAAGGCCUCACGUUAUACGAGCAGCCGAUGUCUGAUUAGCUAGUUGGUGAGGUAAAGGCUCACCAAGGCGUCGAUCAGUAGCGGGUCUGAGAGGAUGAUCCGCCACACUGGGACUGAGACACGGCCCAGACUCCUACGGGAGGCAGCAGUGGGGAAUUUUGGACAAUGGACGCAAGCCUGAUCCAGCCAUGCCGCGUGUCUGAAGAAGGCCUUCGGGUUGUAAAGGACUUUUGUCCGGGAGCAAAUCCUAGUGGUUAAUACCUACUGGGGCUGAGAGUACCGGAAGAAUAAGCACCGGCUAACUACGU